GUAUUAUAAAAACAAAUGCUUUUAUUAUAAUUAAUUGAGGUACAGCCCAAUUAAUAAAGGAAACAACCUAAAUAAAUAAAUAAAGAUUAUAAUAUAUUUAAGAAAAUUAACGCUGUUGGCUUAAAAGCAGCCACCAUAAAUUGCGUCAAAGCUUAAUUUAAAUAAAACUUACUAUUAUAAUAAAUAAUCUAAAUUUAUUUUGAAAAUCAAGUAAAUCUAUAUUAUAGAUAAAUUACUACUAGAAUAAGUAACAAGGAAGGAAACCUCUGUAUGUGUGUGUAAAUCAAAAUGAACCCAUCAUUGAUAAUUAACAAACAAAUUUACAAAAAUAUUAAUAUAAAUGUUAAUCCAACACAGGAACAUUAAAAAAGAUUUAAAAUUUAAAAAGGAACUCGGCAAAACAAUGAGCUUCGCCUGUUUACCAAAAACAUCGCCUCUUGAAGUAAUAAUAUAAGAGGUACUGCCUGCCCAGUGACAAUCGUUUAACGGCCGCGGUAUUAUGACCGUGCAAAGGUAGCGUAAUCACUUGUCUAUUAAAUAUAGACCAGUAUGAAUGGCAAAACGAGAGCUCAACUGUCUCUUUAAAUUAAUCAGUGAAAUUGAUCUUUCCGUGCAGAAGCGGAAAUAUAAUUAUAAGACGAGAAGACCCUAUGGAGCUUCAAACCUAAACUAAUUAUACUUUAUGUAACUAUAACAAUAAUUUAGUACUCGGUUUUAGGUUGGGGUGACCACGGGAUAAAAUUUAACUCCCGAGAUGAAAAAAUUAAGAAAUACAUUUCAAAAUAAUAAUAUCAUUAACAUAAUUGAUCCUUAUUUGAUCAACGAAACAAGUUACCCUAGGGAUAACAGCGCAAUCCUCUCAAAAAGUCCAUAUCGACGAGAGGGUUUACGACCUC
rnacentral:rRNA from 1 species